GGAUAACACUGACGUUCAUGCCCGAAAGCGUGGGUAGCAAACAGGAUUAGAUACCCUGGUAGUCCACGCCCUAAACGAUGUCGAUUAGCUGUUGGGCAGCUUGACUGCUUAGUAGCGAAGCUAACGCGUGAAAUCGACCGCCUGGGGAGUACGGUCGCAAGAUUAAAACUCAAAGGAAUUGACGGGGACCCGCACAAGCGGUGGAUGAUGUGGAUUAAUUCGAUGCAACGCGAAGAACCUUACCUGGUCUUGACAUGUCGCGAAUCCAGUGGAAACACAGGAGUGCCUUCGGGCAUGAACGUCAGUGUUAUCC
rnacentral:rRNA from 1 species